UACGUAGGGGGCAAGCGUUGUCCGGAAUUAUUGGGCGUAAAGAGCGUGUAGGCGGUCCGGUAAGUCAGCUGUGAAAGUCAAGGGCUCAACCCUUGAAUGCCGGUUGAUACUGUCGGGCUAGAGUCCGGAAGAGGCGAGUGGAAUUCCCGGUGUAGCGGUGAAAUGCGCAGAUAUCGGGAGGAACACCAAGGCGAAGGCAGCUCGCUGGGACGGUACUGGACGC
rnacentral:rRNA from 1 species